GUUGAUCCUGGCGGAGGCCACUGCUAUCGGAGUUCGAUUAAGCCAUGCGAGUCGAGAGGUGCAAGACCUCGGCAUACUGCUCAGUAACACGUGGACAAUCUGACCUAUGGAAGGGGAUAAUCCCGGGAAACUGGGGAUAAUACCCUAUAGACUAUGGAUGCUGGAAUGCACUGUAGUCGAAAGGUCCGCCGCCAUAGGAUGGGUCUGCGGCCGAUUAGGUAGUUGUUGGGGUAACGGCCCAACAAGCCCGUAAUCGGUACGGGUUGUGGGAGCAAGAGCCCGGAGAUGGAUUCUGAGACACGAAUCCAGGCCCUACGGGGCGCAGCAGGCGCGAAAACUUUACAAUGCGGGAAACCGUGAUAGGGGAACUCCGAGUGCCCGUAAAAUCGGGCUGUCCACCAGUUUAAACAACUGGUGAAGAAAGGGCCGGGCAAGACCGGUGCCAGCCGCCGCGGUAAUACCGGCGGCUCGAGUGGUGGCCACUAUUACUGGGCUUAAAG
rnacentral:rRNA from 1 species